GGGGAAGGAAGUAAAACCCCAGCUGACUGGGGGAAGUGGCAGCAGCUGGGGGCCACGCCCGAAUCAGGGCCCAGCUGGCUCUAUAAAGGCUGUGAGCCAGAAGCCAAGAGAGACCACUCUCUAGGUUCCUCUAGCUCUGAGAUGGAGGGACCUGGCUGCAAAGACCUGAAUAGAGGACCUAGUUUAGAGCAGGAUUGGGGAAAGGCCAAGGGAGCUGGGGAGCUCCAGCCAAGGAAAGCCCCAGGCAGCGGGCCUGGUAAGGUCUGUUAGGUACAGGGGUUGCAGGGGCAGCCACAGGUAGGCAGCAGGUCCAAACCCAACCUUGCUGGUGAUGAGUGGCUCAUACUGCAGUCUGCCUCAGGGUGCAGGGGCUAGCUGGUGCUGUAUUGAGAAUUGACAAUGAAAAUAUGUCUGUCACUACUGUGAAUGUAAAACUGUCUCUACUGAAAAGUAAAUACAUUUAAAAUUUCUAUCACACCCUUUCAAUGAGUAAAUGAUGGAGUGGGUGUGUGCAUGUCUGUGCACAGAGUUUCAGAAUUACCACUGCAAGAAAUAUGGGUCUCUUCUGCUCGGUUAUCACAGGACUGCUGUUUCCAUAUGCCUGACGGGCACUGCCAAAGGGACCUGUGCUGCUCACUGCAUGCAACAUGGUCCAGCCAUGUGGGACCAGAACCUGCUCCAUAUGCCAAGUCUCUUGCAACCUGCCCUCUAUCCCCACAGUUCAGCUGUUUGCAGACAAUUGCUGGGGUGACUCCAGACAUCUGAUUGGAGCAAACACUGCCCCACGUCCCAUUGUA